ACAGCAGAGGAGACGUGCGGGCAAGAGACUCUGACCGCCCAAGGUCAGCCCGCUAGUGCAGGAGCCCAGCUCACCCUGCGACAGAUAGCUGUUCAAGCAGGAUUAUCUCAGAAGAAAUGAUUUAUGCUCACUGUCCUCUGCCUAGUCUGGAGGCAUCAGUCUUUCUUGGUAACUUUCUAAAUGGAUAGCUUGCUGUCCUGGCCACGUAAACUGCUUGAGUCCCAGCUUCUGGCUUCCCAGAGCCACAUGGGCAACUGGGAACUACAAAGACCAGUGUAUACCGCAAUACCCUCCACCUCCCACCCCUCACCCCUGAAGAGCAGGGCUUCCGCUGGACCCUCAGGCAGACCGGCUGUGGGAUCCUGCACCAGCCAGCCCACCUCGUAUGGGACUCCCGAUGCUGGGGGACGUGGCUCCAGCCCACCAGCUUCAGGGCCCCAGUGACCCAGAGAAUCUGAAGGCCGGUGUGAGGAUGAGGCUGACUUCGUCUGGAAGAACAAGGUCUUCACCCAAGAGCCAGAGUGACCACCGGGUAAUAAGAAGAGAUGCAGGGAUCACAGAUAAUCUGAUGUGGGGCUAAGGAAACUGAGUGCUAGACAGAAUGAGGUAGUUUUGUGCUAUAGGUUUUGUAGACUGUGCAUAUUUGUUUCUUUUGGGGAUGAGCAAAAAAUAAUGCGAAUCUUUUCUUUUUCUAGUGAACUCCCUGCUUUGUUCUCACAUAAUAGCAGUCAAGAUAAAUUGAAAAUUUUUUCAUGUUUGAUUUUGAGUUGAAUGGUUAGUAUUGUACCACAUUAGAAAAAAGCAUGUGUAUUCUGAAAUGUUAUAAAUUCAUUCCACAAAUACUUCUUAAUUAUACUGUGUAGGAGGGAGGUUGGCAUUUUUAACAUUUUGUGUGUGUGUUUAAGCAUUUUAGGAUAUAAAAAAGAAAGAGAUAAUACCGUAAUAUUGUUUAAUAUUUAUUUUAGAUUUAUAGCAUGUUUUGCUUUAAAUAGCUUUCUGUGGGCUAGCCUAGAAAUAUAAUGACCAAUUAGUAUCUUCUUCCUGUAGGAAAAUGCAUUAGGACUUCCAGACAACUAGCUGAUAAUCAUUUAAAACACAACCUAUUGAUAGGCACAAGUCAUGCAUCGGAAACAUCAGUCUCCAACUCACACACUGCUAGACAAGAACACAGUGCCCCGUUGGAGACGUGUAAAUUCAUGAGUCCCACCUCUACGUGUUGAAAAGUCUGCUGACAGGAGCAUGCUGAGCUGAACUGACGGGGUGAGCAGAAUCUCCCGAGGUGAUUGGGCAGGAGGGAGGCGACUCAGACUAGCACGCCCGCACUCCUCCCCAGCCCCCAGAGGACGCUGUGUGGCUCUCGUCCCUGCACACCAAGUCCUAUGCACCUUCAUUAAUGCCAGCUCUUUCAAAGAACAAUACUGUGCCAGUUAUCUAAAGGCCAGCUUUCUGGCAUGCCCAAAAUGUCUAGAAUUGCUGCAGAAAUUGUGCUAAGAAAAAAAUAAUAAUCCUGUGUCGUGUAGAGGGAAAGAAGCGUUAAUAAGAAGCCUUGAUGAAGUCCAGAAAGUUACAGCAAGAGGCUCUUCAGUGGAGAGUUUUCCAGUGGAAAGGAAAAGGCAUGCUCUGGGCUGGCCAUUGUUUCGUCAAGAUAAAAGCCAAGACAGACAGGAGAAGAAAUAGGAAACAGAAGGGGAGAGCAUGUGGCCCCUGUCAGCUACAGCACUGGGCUGAGGGUCAGAAAUCCUGGUGAGAGUGGGAGUGACACCUGGGAAGUGACACCUCCGCUACCCAGACAACCAGAGGAAGCAGGUUCCCUCAGCCAAACGGGGAUUCUUCCGGAUUGCAGGGGCAAUACUGCUCACGUAGUCUUUCAUUAAUUUUGAACAGUUAAAACGUUCCUCUGAGAUGAAGCAGGUCUUGCUGCUAAUUUAAACACAGAGAUUACAUACCACGCUCAAUGAUUUAUUUCCUGGUAGAAAGUUUAUGGACUUAUACUAAUGUUAAAUGAUAGUUCCUUGAUUGGAUUAUGUAUUUUGUUGGCAGUGGAGUAAAUUCUAUCUACAUCAGACCAUGCAGAAAAAUAAUGCUAAAAAUCCUACAAUAUCCUGUGUAGGUGAGCCUCCCUGCCCGCUGUGUUUGUAUUUUUAAGUUGGAGCCCUCCCGUGCCUUUUCACUCUCUUUUCCAUUAUUUAAACCCACAUCUCUCACAUGGUGUGUGAUACAAUAUAUGUCUCUCAAUGGAACUAAACUUUGUUUUAUCUUGUGUAAUAUGCAUAAAAGAAUAAAAUAAUCUUGUAAUAAUGUAAGUGGUCCUUCUUUUGCUGUCCCCAAAUUGUGUUUCGAGAGCUCUGAUUAUUUGAAGAGUAGAGGGCACCGGCUUUUGUGGUUAGAAUACGUGCGGUUUGGAGCAGGACCUCACAGGCUGCCCAGAGGUUUCCGCUUCAGAUUUAAGAAGUAUGUCCAUCGAUCUUUUUGUGUGUAAGACACUUUUUAUAUUUGGAUGCAGGUCAGUUUCUCUAUAAAUACUCACUUGGGGGAGAAGGCUCUGGAAUAAAGAACAAGCACAUUAGUUGUUCAA